AUUGCGGAUGCCGAAAAGCAUAUAGAGUAGGCU
rnacentral:ncRNA from 1 species